rnacentral:rRNA from 1 species
CAGGCCUAACACAUGCAAGUCGAACGAAGCCUUCGGGCUUAGUGGCGCACGGGUGCGUAACGCGUGGGAAUCUGCCCUUGGGUUCGGAAUAACUCGCCGAAAGGCGUGCUAAUACCGGAUGAUGACGUAAGUCCAAAGAUUUAUCGCCCAAGGAUGAGCCCGCGUAGGAUUAGCUAGUUGGUGAGGUAAGAGCUCACCAAGGCGACGAUCCUUAGCUGGUCUGAGAGGAUGAUCAGCCACACUGGGACUGAGACACGGUCCAGACUCCUACGGGAGGCAGCAGUGGGGAAUAUUGCACAAUGGGGGAAACCCUGAUGCAGCCAUGCCGCGUGUGUGAGGAAGGCCUUCGGGUUGUAAAGCACUUUCAGCGAGGAGGAAAGGUCAGUAGCUAAUAUCUGCUGGCUGUGACGUUACUCGCAGAAGAAGCACCGGCUAACUCCGUGCCAGCAGCCGCGGUAAU